UUGAUUUUAAAGAUGUGCUGGCAUUUUAAUGCAUGUGCACUCUUCACAAAACCAAUAUCCACCUGUGCACACUCUGUAAGCAACAGGGUCUUAUCCUUUGCUUAUGUUCCUUUACAAACAACCAUUGAUUUAUUUGAAUGUAAUUUGAAAUAACUAAAA
rnacentral:misc_RNA from 1 species